rnacentral:rRNA from 1 species
AAUGAACGCUGGCGGCACGCCUAACACAUGCAAGUCGAACGGAGCAAAUUUAUUUGCUUAGUGGCAAACGGGUGAGUAACAUGUGGGAAUCUACCCUUCGGUAGGGGACAACUCUGGGAAACUGGAGCUAAUACCCUAUAUUCUUGGAAACAAGGAAAGUUUUUUCGCCGAGGGAUGAGCCUGCACCAGAUUAGGUAGUUGGUAGGGUAAGAGCUUACCAAGCCUGUGAUCUGUAGCUGAUCUGAGAGGAUGAUCAGCCACACUGGGAUUGAGAACGGCCCAGACUCCUACGGGAGGCAGCAGUGAGGAAUAUUGGACAAUGGGGGAAACCCUGAUCCAGCGAUGUCGCGUGAAUGAAGAAGGCCUUAGGGUUGUAAAGUUCUUUCACUUGUGAAGAUAAUGACUGUAGCGAGAGAAGAAGUCCCGGCUAACUCUGUGCCAGCGCCGCGGUAA